CUUUAUUUAUAGCCUUUCCGUGGUAGCGAGGAGGUGGCGAUAGGUAUAAAAUGAAAGAUACUUGAUAUAUAUAUACUAUUCUAGAAGCUACAUGUCAAGUUUGGUGACUCUAGCUCAUAUUAUUUGCCCUAAUCGCUCAAAAAGCAGGAUUUCGAUAUCGAUUUUUAUCGGUUACAUGGAAGCGGGGCCAAGUAUCGAACAUCGGAAACAAACUCGAUCUGCGCGGGCAGAUCAAGAAUAUACAUACUUUAUGGGGUCGGAGAUGCUUCCUUCUGCCAGUUACAUACAUUUGCACAAAUACAAUAUACCCUGUUUACCCAUUUUUAAUGGGUUCAGGGUAUAAAAAGAGUUAAAUUAGGCAACAUAUGCACGUCCUUAACAUAAAAUCAUGCAUAAUGCAAUUUUUAAGCACGUAAACUCUAUAUUAAAUUGUGAUUUCAUUUUGCAAAGAAUCAGUUGACAUCACAAUGUUUUCCGAAUUUUAGUGCAUUUAUACCCUGAACACAUAGCGGAAAUGCGUUUUCCCGCUUUGCAAUCAGAGGGUAUCUCGUGUCUGACUUAGCACUUUUACUUGUUUUUUCUGUGAUCCGAUUACAAACGAGAUGUCGAUUUUUUCGAUAUUUUCGACCCCCCAGUAGUCGUAUAUAAAAUUGUUGUUAUUAACCUUAAAAACUGUGCCAGGCCCCAUGUUCAUGGGUCCAUUUAUAAAGACUCUCAUCUGUAGCUUUGCUUCCAAAUUUGGUGAUUCUAACUAUUAAACUGAACUACAUAUGUAUGUUGAUUUGCCACGACCGCAGCGUACGCAAAAUAUUUUUAGAUCGUUCUUUCGAAGUGUUUAUUCCAAAUGUUGUCACUUAAUCUCUAAAACGAGAAGUUAUUGCUUUUUCUUUUUGCCUGUGAGCGUAGUCAAUUUCAUCACAUCUGACGCAGUAUAUGUUCGAAAUGUCAGGUGUCUAAAUUCAACAGCCCCGAAAAUGAAAUUGCGUUCAAACCCAAAAUAAUUUUCACUUUGUGGACGAGUAUUAAUGUAAACGCAAUUAUUUACGAAUGCGGCAAGACAAAUAGAAUCGCUCGCACUCUUCUACUCAUCUGCUUAUAUAAAUUGUUGGCAACUUGAACAAGAUGGCUACUAGAGCUGCUUUGGAUCCUUUUGAAUUUGGGACGAGUUACAAGAACAAUUUAUGUGACAACACCGAAAAACAAUACUUUCCAAUUGUGCCGAUUGAGGAUAAUCCGUUAACUAGUAAUAAUUUGGUUAUUCAAAAAGCAUGAAGCUGUGUAUUCGUACAUGAUUAUUUUCAAUGUUAAAAAUAUAAAUGAAAAUUA